GCGGCUACGGCGCGGACGCCGUCGGCAGCGGCAUCGAAGUGACCUGGACCCAGACGCCGGCCCAGUGGAGCAACUUCUUCUUCGAGAACCUGUUCAAGUAUGAGUGGGUGCAGACCCGCAGCCCCGGCGGUGCGAUCCAGUGGGAAGCCAAGGACGCCGAGGCCGUCAUCCCCGAUGCGCACGAUCCGUCGAAGAAGCGCAAGCCGACCAUGCUGACCACCGACCUGUCGCUGCGCGUGGAUCCGGCCUACGAGAAGAUCUCGCGCCGCUUCCUCGAAAACCCGCAGGCCUUCGCGGAAGCCUUCGCGCGCGCAUGGUUCAAGCUGACCCACCGC
rnacentral:misc_RNA from 1 species